AGUGUGGCACUUCUUCUGCGAAAGAGGGGAUUGGAGAAGUUGGUGUCAUCCCCUGUGUUCUCAGCAGAGCUUGCCAGUUUUCAGUAAAUGUUGUUAACUUCUGGCAAUGCAUGUCAUGCCUGCUAAGGGUUUGCAGCAUGAAAAAUGUGGCAAUAUCAGGCCAUUUUUCUAUGUCUUAAUGGACAUUUUGAGUAGAAUAUUGUCUGUCAGGGAUGUGAGUUGAGUAUAGUAUACCUAUAUGUGGUUUUAUGACUUGAGGAAAGUCAAACACUGAAUCUCCCUGUGUUCUCUUGUACAGAGACUGAAUCAAGAUCAGGGUGUCAAUCAUCCAGGCGCGCCAAAUGACUCUGCUUGUGAGGGCCAGAUGUACUAAAGCUGUUGCAACCACUUCAGGCGUAUUUGCUUUACGUGAAACGUGCACGUAAAAACAUGGCGAGGGUUAGGCGAUGCAGUGCAGGGAGCUCUAACACCAGUAGGAGCAUGUUAGCUGAGGGAUUACUGCACCGCUAAAAGCUAAUCUAAUUGUUCACCAUCUCUUUGACUAAAGGAGGAGUGUUCACUCGCUCACUGAAAGUUCACACACACACACACAGGCAUGCUCCCACACAGACACACGCACUCACACACUCAUGCACACACAC